rnacentral:rRNA from 1 species
AAUGAACGCUGGCGGCGUGGAUUAGGCAUGCAAGUCGAGCGCUCACCCGCAAGGGUGGGAGCGGCGAAAGGGAGAGUGACGCGUGGGUAUCUGCCCUCGGGACUGGGAUAGCUGCGGGAAACUGCAGGUAAUACCAGAUGACGUCCCCGGACCAAAGGUGUGAUUCCGCCUGAGGAUGAGCCCGCGUCCUAUUAGCUUGUUGGUGGGGUAAUGGCCUACCAAGGCAAUGAUGGGUACUGGGUGUGAGAGCACGACCCAGCUCACUGGGACUGAGGCACUGCGCAGACACCUACGGGUGGCUGCAGUCGAGGAUCUUCGGCAAUGGGCGAAAGCCUGACCGAGCGACGCCGCGUGUGGGAUGAAGGCCUUCGGGUUGUAAACCGCUGUCAGAGGGGAGGAAUGGGCGGAGGGUAAUCUCUUCGUUUUGACCUAUCCUCAGAGGAAGUACGGGCUAAGUUCGUGCCAGCAGCCGCCGUAACAC